GAUGAACGCUAGCGGCAGGCCUAACACAUGCAAGUCGAGGGAGAGGUUACCUUCGGGUAACCAAAACCGGCGCACGGGUGCGUAACGCGUAUACAAUCUGCCUUUCACAUAGGGAUAGCCCGAAGAAAUUUGGAUUAAUACCUAAUGGUAUAUAAGAGCGGCAUCGUUUUUAUAUUAAAGCUACGGUGGUGAAAGAUGAGUAUGCGUUCUAUUAGCUAGUUGGAGAGGUAACGGCUCCCCAAGGCGACGAUAGAUAGGGGUUCUGAGAGGGAUGUCCCCCACACUGGUACUGAGAUACGGACCAGACUCCUACGGGAGGCAGCAGUGAGGAAUAUUGGACAAUGGUCGGAAGACUGAUCCAGUCAUGCCGCGUGCAGGAUGAAGGUCCUAUGGAUUGUAAACUGCUUUUGUAAGGGAAGAAUAAGGAGUACGUGUACUUUGAUGACGGUACCUUACGAAUAAGCAUCGGCUAACUCCGUG
rnacentral:rRNA from 1 species